GACGAACGCUGGCGGCGUGCUUAACACAUGCAAGUCGAACGGAAAGACCCUGCUUUUGUGGGGUGCUCGAUUGGCGAACGGGUGAGUAACACGUGAGUAACAUGCCCUUGACUUAGGGAUAAAUUCUGGGAACAGGGGCUAAUACACGAUAGGAGCUCCUGCUGCAUGGUGGUGGUUGGAAAAAUUCGGCGGUUGGGGAUGGACUCGCGGCUUAUCAGCUUGUUGGUGGGGUAGUGGCUGACCAAGGCUAUGACGGGUAGCCGGCCUGAGAGGGUGACCGGCCACAUGGGGACUGAGAUACGGCCCAGACUCCUACGGGAGGCAGCAGUGGGGAAUAUUGCACAAUGGGCGGAAGCCUGAUGCAGCAACGCCGCGUGCGGGAUGACGGCCUUCGGGUUGUAAACCGCUUUCGCCUGUGACGAAGCGUGAGUGACGGUAAUGGGUAAAGAAGCACCGGCUAACUACGUG
rnacentral:rRNA from 1 species